GAUCAUGGCUCAGGAUGAACGCUAGCGGCAGGCUUAACACAUGCAAGUCGAGGGGCAGCAUGACACGGAGAUUCGUCGAAGUGUUGAUGGCGACCGGCGCAAGGGUGCGUAACGCGUGAGCAACUUGCCCGUUUCUGGGGAAUAACCGGUGGAAACGCCGACUAAUACCCCAUAGUAUAACGAAGAGGCAUCUUUUUGUUAUUAAAGAAUUUCGGAAACGGAUAGGCUCGCGUGACAUUAGCUAGAUGGCGGGGUAACGGCCCACCAUGGCGACGAUGUCUAGGGGUUCUGAGAGGAAGGUCCCCCACACUGGAACUGAGACACGGUCCAGACUCCUACGGGAGGCAGCAGUGAGGAAUAUUGGUCAAUGGGCGAGAGCCUGAACCAGCCAUGUCGCGUGCAGGAUUACGGCCCUAUGGGUUUUAAACUGCUUUUGUCUAGGGGUAAAAUCGCCACGAGUGGUAAAUUGAAAGUACUAGACGAAUAAGCAUCGGCUAACUCCGUG
rnacentral:rRNA from 1 species